rnacentral:lncRNA from 12 species
AGGGCCAUCUGGAUUUUGCUUUAGAAAUUUAGUGACAGGGAUCCCUGGGUGGCGCAGCAGUUUAGCGCCUGCCUUUGGCCCAGGGCGCGAUCCUGGAGACCCGGGAUCGAAUCCCACGUCGGGCUCCCGGUGCAUGGAGCCUGCUUCUCCCUCUGCCUGUGUCUCUGCCUCUCUCUCUCUCUGUGUGUGACUAUCAUAAAUAAAAAAAAAAAAAGAAGAAGAAGAAAUUUAAUGACAAAGAUGAUUCUUCCACCAAGUAUUUUGACCACUAUAGUCUAGAUUUGGUGGAGACUGCUGCUGGAAAUAUGAGGUUGGGCUAGAUAAAACAUUCAAUGGGACACUAGAGUACAGAUUAGGCCAAGUGUUAUUGUUCUGAUAUGACCUCAUGACUCAUGGUGCAACCUCAAAUAACUUCUCUAAAUAGCUUCCCUAGCUGUUCGAUGGGUAACAAAUUCAUACUUCACAGAAUAUUGAAACUUAAACAGUAUGCAUAAACCAAAUCUGGAUUUGUUUUGGUGCUGUUUAUUACUCAAACACUCAGAGAUGGAAGCAAAGAAAGUUACAACUCACCACAUACUGAGUUAGAGGAUGGGGAAUCUUCAGCAUUUGAACUUGGGGAGGAAGAAUAUAAAAAUACAGGUGGUCUAUCUGCAAUUAUGAACAAGGAAACAUCAACUACAAACUCUCUAUUCAGUCUGCUGUUGUUCCUCUUCAAAUGUAAUCAAAGAGAAUCUACUCAACUCAAAGUGAAAGCUGACACCAGGCUAUAAUGUUCAGUGAAACCUUACCAAAGAUCUCAGAGAAAUUGAAAUGCACUACCACACAGAGACAUUUCAAGUUGGGUGUUAAAUUUGGCUUCACUCGGAGUUCAUGAAUCCAAUUCAUUUCAAAUGCAUCAGGUGAGUGUUUAAGUAAUCCUCACCUUGCCCCACAUUUUGGGAAAUGGGUCACAUCUUCUCUUUAAGGGUCCUUGAGUACAUCUCAUCUCUUCUGCUUGUGUCUACCAAAACCAAAGAGAUGAAAAAGGUCAUCUUACCCCUAAAGGCUUUCCAGCACAGUUCUUAUUUUUAA